AUGUGUAGUUUACCCUGGAUAUGCCGCUCUAGCAGUUUUGCAGCUACCCUUACACGAAUAAGACGUCCUUCGGCCGGCAUCGAUCGUCCAGAAAAAACUCAAAGAAAAUUGUUCAAGGCCUAAUCGUUCAACUUAUCCGACUUACGUGCGAUCGAUCAAAAUGGGACCUAUAAACAUUUUAUUCUACUUGUUUUACAUCAGCAUCCUCAUGGCAGUAGGGUUCAAAUUCAGUUACCGCCACCUUUGGACUUUUUUUGAACUACUGAUAAUAUUGAUGAUUGAUGGCCAACUUAUGGAGGUAUACAAACCAAGCAACUUUGAAAUCGACGCAAUGUGGAACAAUCAGAAAACGACACUAACAGCCAUUUUUUAUUUUGUGCUACCCAUGUUAACAAAGCUGAUGCCCUUCUUUGUGUUUAUAUUUUUUAAAUAUAAGAGUCUAUUCCACUUAAUGCGACUAUGCAUAAAAGUCACCGGUAAAUGGAAUGAAAAUGGAUAUUUGACCAACUGGCCUUUGAAUAAUUCGAAUAAUUAAUACUCGGUUAUCGUUGGUAAAACACUAAUAAUAUUAAAAAAUAUUCUUGUCUUACUAACCGGUUACGAUGACCAAUAGUACAACCUAGUUUUUGCGAUACGUCGGUGUAGAAAUUAAUAUAAACUGACGUUAGACUUAGAUUAUUUUGAUAGCAAAAUAAUAUUAUUACACAUAAUAUAAUAAUAAUCAUAUAUAAAUGGACUGUAGGUCACGACGUGCCGUGAUAUUAUAUCACCUCAGUAUCAAUAAACAAUCUUUAUUAAAUGAAA